rnacentral:rRNA from 1 species
UACGUAGGGCGCGGGCGUUGUCCGGAAUUAUUGGGCGUAAAGCGCGCGUAGGCGGCCUUUUAAGUCAGAUGUGAAAUCCCCGGGCUUAACCUGGGAACUGCGUUUGAAACUGGAAGGCUUGAGUGUGGCAGAGGGGAGUGGAAUUCCACGUGUAGCGGUGAAAUGCGUAGAGAUGUGGAGGAACACCGAUGGCGAAGGCAGCGCCCUGGGUCAAGAUUGACGCUCAUGCACGAAAGCGUGGGGAGCAAACAGG